GACCAAAUUCAAGGGCCAAUGUAUAGAAAUCUCUACUCCUAAUGAAGCAGUUGGUAGUCUCGCUUCCAGGUUUUUUUUCAUCCCGGUUUUUUUUUGUCCCACCUCCCACCAUCAUGUUUCUUUGGUUUUUUUCGUAUGGUUUUUUCACCUCCCCACGAUCGGUCCGCUCACACACCGCCCACAGAAACAAUCCAUCGCCACCCACGACUCCCUCACCCUGACUAGGGUUCCUAGCCCUAUCCUCCGCCGCCGUUGCGUGUUCCCGUCUGACAUCGCCCGAGCGCUUUGUUGACCUCGCCGGGAGCAGCCAGCUGGAUCACGCCGCCAUGCCUCCCUCUCUCCCUUCUCUUCUUUUCCCCUACCUUCUCUCUCUCCUCUGAACUGCGCAUCGCUCCUGUUAGAGGCCGGGGACACCUCGGCACACGCCGCCUACCGGGAGACGCCGGUGCUGGACAGGGAUAGCCAGGCAGCCGUGCGCGUGCAAGGUCGGUUCGCGGCACUGCCUCGUCCAGCCCAAGCCGCUCAUCCGCGUCGCCGUGUUCGCUCAAGCCGUUGCGUCCCGUGGAGGAGGGAGCAGGCACAUGAACGCGGGCGCCGCUGGAGAUGUUGAUGAAAAGCAGAGGAAUUUCAUUCCGUUGAUGCUUCAGCAAUCCUUUUAUCUCACCACGCCCACAUGCUCCGAUGAAGCAAUUCUCAACGGCGGUGGCUGGUUGACUCGUCUCAGGUCACAGUGAUUAGUGCCAAUUAGCCUGAUCGUGCAGUGAUGCCAGCUGGAUCACGCCGCCGUGCCUCCCUCUCUCCCUUCUCUUCUUUUCCCCUACCUCUCUCUCUCCUCUGAACUGCUCCUCUCUGCAGGUGCCGCCAUGGCCGCGUCUUGGAGCUCGCCGCCGUGGGCUGCGCGCCCCUUCGAUGACAGCCUUCCUCGCCCACGUCCAGGUCCUCUUAAUCCUAAUUUGACGAAUGGGAGCGGAAGCUGCAAUGUCAAGAUCCGCAAGCAGGACAUGAACCACCUUGCCAUGAAUUUCCUCGUCACAUUAGGAUUCAUCGACGCCACCAACAGGUUCUGUAUCAAUUCCGGCACCCAACGUACUGUAUGCCCACACGUUUAAAUCAUGCCGCUCUUACUCCUGCAAUACUCCAAGAAUAGUACUUGAGAUUUAGGCAGCAGUGGGCAUGGUAAUUAAUUUUUAUUUAGUUGGUUCAGUUACUAUCAUUGGAAGUGCCAGACAGAUCUCGCCGUCAAGAGUAGCGCUGCAGGGUCAUUCACCUGGUUGGCCUCUUAUGUAACUGGUGUUGUUGUGUCCAUGUGGAAGGAGAGCCCGCUUCUCCGGGACGCCGGCGCUGACAUGCUCACCGUAGGCGACUGUCAUGGCGGUGCUCGACUUCAGGGAGGAGGUCGGCAACCACCACUUCUUGGACCAAGUAAAGCUUUGCUCGCCAUUGAAAUAAUCUCGUUUCUUGUUUUUUCUCUUUCUGAUAUGAUUGAUGAUUUAUUCCAUUUGCACAAAAGGAUUCUCGAGGAAAUAGCACAAGCUAAUUCAAAAUCAUCUCUUAGUUGAUCAAGCAUGUAAUCAUAAAGUGAAGGUAGAGAAGUUUGGAAUAGUAACCUCGUGGUUUCAUUACCCACGCAUUGGAGAUCCCAUGCAAACUAUUGUGAUUUGUGAGAAGUUUCAGAAAUUUGCAAUUUGUGAGCGGCGUAAAAAUGUCAUAAAUACAGUCACAAACCCAUCAGAUCUAUGCUAUGGAUGCCGUGGUGAUUGCUGGAACGGAGGGUUCCUGGGAUGAUGAGAAGAUGAAUCUAAAUGGUCUGACGGUCUGAGUACUCGUCGGCAUGACAAGGUGACUACAGAUCCACCAUAACAUGCGAGUGGCAAUGCUCCAGGACAAGCAGCCGGUGAUGGCAUACCUUCACAGAAUGGAGUACGGCGUAGGUGUUCAAGGGUUGUAUCAGGCCGCAUGGGAAGAACCUGAAGUUGCAAGUGGAUACGGUCAAGAACAUAGUUAAAGGUGAUAUGGGAGAUAAGUUCCAUAGGCAAGCUGGAUUGAGGCUUGAUGAGCCGAACCCAAGGGACGUGCUUAGUUUCUACCACAAAAUUCUAUCAUUCACAUCAACGGAUGUUGCAAAGAAGUGGUUCAAGCAUACUUAUCCAAAACUUAUAAUCCUGAGGGAGAAGACUUUGUGAAGGAGUUCAGACUGAAUGGCCAGUUAACAAGAAUCGGGUGGAUCUGCGUGUGGUGGAUGAUCGUUUACAAGGAAUGUUGAAUGUAUGGUUCCUGCAGAUGUUCAGGUGGCGCCACGUAUUCGACCUGCGAUUUGUGAAACAGUGAAGUCACUGCCAUCGCCAAGAGAGUGGAGCAGCAUCACUAUAAGAUGUGGCGGAUUGGUGGGUCCCGGGUCAAAAAGUGCCCAAGACUCGCGCAACCAAGUUUUCUGGAGGCCGAGCAACAUGACAUAGCCACGGACAAAAUGGAGGAAGGGAAGGGUGUGGAGGAGAGGGGAAUUUACCACUUCGCGCAACGGCAACGUUGCGUGAGGGGCAUUCAUCUUCCACCUGAGCCGCAUAUGCAACUAAUUGUUCAAUAAACAUUCUUGCAAGAGCAAGAGGCUCGCCACUGUUGGUCGUUAGUACUCUUGCUUAUAAUUUCUUCACUUCAACUUAUAAGGAAACAUAGUAAUGCUUGAUGCACGACUUGAUACCUUCAAGGAUAAGCUGUCUGGAAAGCUUCUACCUGAUCAGCGAGGUAGUUGCCAUAAUACUACCU